GACGGAAGGUGCGAGCGUUGCUCGGAAUCACUGGGCGUAAAGGGUGCGUAGGCGGCUUCUUAAGUCUGGUGUGAAAGCCCAGGGCUCAGCUCUGGAAGUGCACUAGAAACUGGGGAGCUUGAGUACCGGAGGGGAGAGUGGAAUUCCUGGUGUAGCGGUGAAAUGCGUAGAUAUCAGGAGGAAUACCGGUGGCGAAAGCGACUCUCUGGACGGUUACUGACGCUGAGGCACGAAAGCGUGGGGAGCAAACAGGAUUAGAAACCCCCGUAGUCC
rnacentral:rRNA from 1 species